rnacentral:lncRNA from 1 species
CAGCUAGGAGGGGGGAGCGACUCAUGGAGCGGCCGUAAGUUGCUAACUGAGUUUGGAAUCUUCACUGCCAAAAUGACAUCACAUUCCACCUCUGCCCAGUGUUCAGCAUCUGACAGUGCUUGCAGAAUUUCUUCGGAACAAAUCAAUCAGGUACGACCAAAACUGCAGCUUCUCAAGAUUUUGCAAGCAGCAGGUGCUCAGGGGGAAGUUUUCACCAUGAAAGAGGUAAUGCACUAUCUAGGCCAGUAUAUAAUGGUGAAGCAGCUCUAUGAUCAACAGGAGCAACAUCUGGUGUACUGUGGUGGAGACCUUUUGGGAGAUCUACUUGGAUGUCAGAGCUUUUCUGUGAAAGAUCCAAGCCCUCUGUAUGACAUGCUAAGAAAGAACCUUGUUACGUCAGCCUCUGUUAACACAGAUGCUGCUCAGACUCUCGCUCUCGCACAGGAUCACACUAUGGAUAUUCCAAGUCAAGACCGACUGAAGCACGGUGCAACAGAGUGCUCCAACCCCAGAAAAAGAACUGAAGAAGAUGAUACUCACACACUGCCUACCUCACGACGUAAAUGCAGAGAUUCCAGAGCAGGAUAUAGGUACUGCCAUUGUUUCAGACACUACGGACGAUUUGUGGUUUUUAAAUGAGACCGUGUCAGAGCAAUUAGGUGUUGGAGUAAAAGUUGAAGCUGCUAACUGUGAGCAACCAAGUGAAGUAGGGAGAACAAGAGACAAGAAGAUGGUUGAAGGGGGAAAAGAUGAUGACCUUGAGGACUCCAAGUCCUUAAGUGAUGAUACUGAUGUGGAAGUCACUUCUGAGGAUGAGUGGCAGUGUACGGAAUGCAAGAAGUUUAAUUCUCCAAGCAAGAGGUACUGUUUUCGUUGCUGGGCCUUGAGGAAGGAUUGGUAUUCGGAUUGCUCUAAAUUAACUCAUUCUCUCUCUACAUCUAAUAUCACUGCCAUACCUGAAAAGAAGGACAAUGAAGGAAUCGAUGUCCCCGAUUGUCGGAGAACCAUUUCCGCUCCUGUGGUUAGGCCUAAAGAUGGAUAUUUAAAGGAGGAAAAGCCCAGGUUUGACCCUUGCAACUCAGUGGAAUUUUUGGAUUUGGCCCAUGGUUCUGAAAGCCAAGAGAUCAUCUCAAGCACAAGAGAACAAACAGAUAUUUUCUCUGAGCAGAAGACAGAAACAGAAAGUAUGGAAGAUUUCCAGAAUGUCUUGAAGCCCUGUAGCUUAUGUGAAAAAAGGCCUCGGGAUGGGAACAUUAUUCAUGGGAAGACGAGCCAUCUGACUACAUGUUUCCACUGUGCCAGGAGACUGAAGAAGUCUGGGGCUUCAUGUCCUGCUUGUAAGAAAGAGAUUCAGUUGGUUAUUAAGGUUUUUAUAGCAUAGUUGAGUCAGUUGCAGAGAAAUACUAGGAGUACCAGGUCAUUUAUCAAAAGUCAGUAUUCUUAGAGGAAGGGGCAGAAGAUUACCAAUUUUGAUGCCAGUCUGGGCCAUAUAAUGAGACCUCGGUCUUAAAAGGAUCAGUAUUGAGCAUCUUUUAUAAAUGUGACCCAUCAUAUAUAUUUAUUUAUAUAAGCAUAUAUGGAAUUUUAGAUCAGUUUUGAGGGUUUCAUUGAUGAGAAGAUACAUAAAUAACUUUGUUUUCCUUCCGAAUUGUAAACCCGAGAGGCAAUAAUACCAAUACAAACAUAACAAUGCAU